rnacentral:sRNA from 1 species
UCAAAGAUUUUUGGGAUGUUUACUUAUUUGAAAGAGAUAUUGGGAUGUUUACUUAUGGUGAUGUCAAAGAAAAAGCAAACGCAAAGAAGUUUUUGGGUGGUAACUUCCAAUAUCUCAGUUUGUGAUGUUUCCCAGCUUUGCUUGGUAAGAUAUGUAGUUAGAGCCUUAGAGGGACUUGAAAUGAAUGUUAAUAACUUCAAUAUUUCAGUUUGUGAUGUCAAAGACAGUUUGUCAAAAUUAAGUAUGCGUUGAAAGUGAUUAAAUCAAAUAAAGACUUUAUAAGUAGCCUAGCUUAGGGGGAUGGGUAAGUUAUUUUUAAAAUUGUUCCUCCAUUAGACAUGAUAUUUUCUUGAGACUUUGAGAGAAUGAUAAAUUUUGUAUACUUCAUACUUUUUAACCAACGUUAGUUAAUUUUUCUGCAUGCUAAAAUCGUCUAGCUACAUAUUGCAUUAGAUACCACUGGCACAUUCAUUCUGAUUUUGGUUGAUAUCAUUGAAGAGAGAGCAGACAAAAUAAAGUGAAUGUAGCGGUAAUCAGCUCACGUCUUAUUGAAUCAAACCUCUUGGUAAUUAGUUGAUUUGUAGAAUUAAUAUCAUAAAUAGAUUUGGCUAGACAUGUUUUCUAUAUAUAUAUCAAGAAUUCAAAAGAAAAAUACUUUGUAAUAGACGUAUACAUAAUAAAAAUUCUUUGUCCAGUUAAUGAACAUAUAUAGCAACUGAAUAUUAUUUGGUAUCCCGAUACAACAAACAAAACAAAGCCACAAAAAAAGAAACCUAAAAGAGUAAGAAAAGACAAAAACUAAAACAUAAAAUAACAGAGUAGAAUCUAAGCUGAACAGCUCCUGCAUGUUCAAAUCCCCCAUAAUAGAAAGACGUGUUGCUCGACAUCUUUGAUUUGUAGUAGUCGGAUUUUGGAUACUUGCCUCGUGUCCUCCAAUGACUCUUUCCGCUGCUCCGGUCUUAUGGGAAACCAAUCUUUCCGCCAAAGGAGAGGAUAAUUAAAAGAAGGUUGAUCUCUCGUAUGGAUGCAUUCAAUAAUGUCUCCAUCUGGACUCUCUCUAGUUAUAAAAAAAUAUAGUAUCAAUAUAAGUUGAAUAAAGAAGUCACAUGAACAGUUUUUAGAAAAUGUAGGAUAAGUGGUCAUGAGUGGUUUACAACGUGCUUUGAUGGUCAUGAGUGGUUUAUAAAAAAGAAUUAUAAUAGACAAUUUAUACA